GGUCUUUACUUUUAUCAAACUCAUUUCUCAUUUUCUUUGAACUACACAUAAAUUCUAUCAGUCAGGCAUGUCCUUCACAGGGAAUCGUUCAAGCUGUCAUUUCUCUAUUCCUUAUUUAUGGCUAUAACUUUACCUAAAUUGUCACUACAGAACCACAGAGCCAGAGCCAAAGGCAAAGCUUCAGGCAUCCAAGUGUAAGGUUGGACAGCAGGGAAGCUAUAUCCUGCAUGCUGGUUGACUUUCAGUGACCUUGAUGAUACCAGG